rnacentral:rRNA from 1 species
CGAAGGGGCGUAGCGUUGCUCGGAAUCACUGGGCGUAAAGGGACGCGUAGGCGGCCAUUCAAGUCGGGGGGUGGAAAGCCUGUGGCUCAACCACAGAAUUGCCUUCGAUACUUGUUUGGUCUUGUAGUUUGGUUAGGAGGUUGGUGGAACUGCGAGUGUAGAGGUGAAAUUCGUAGAUAUUCGCAAGAACACCAGUGGCGAAGGCGGCCAACUGGACCAACACUGACGCUGAGGCGCGAAAGACGUGGGGGAGGCAAACAGGAUU